rnacentral:tRNA from 1 species
GUGGCUGUAGCUCAGUUGGUAGAGCACCUGGUUGUGGUCCAGGGGGUCGCGGGUUCGAGUCCCGUCAGCCACCCCA